GAUGAACGCUGGCGGCGUGCCUAAUACAUGCAAGUCGAGCGAACAGACGAGGAGCUUGCUCCUCUGACGUUAGCGGCGGACGGGUGAGUAACACGUGUAUAACCUACCUAUCAGACUGGGAUAACUUCGGGACACCGGCGCUAAUACCGGAUAAUAUAUUGAACCGCAUGGUUCAAUAGUGAAAGACGGUUUUGCUGUCACUUAUAGAUGGAUCCGCGCCGCAUUAGCUAGUUGGUAAGGUAACGGCUUACCAAGGCGACGAUGCGUAGCCGACCUGAGAGGGGGAUAGGCCACACUGGAACGGAGACACGGUCCAGACUCCUGCGGGAGGCAGCAGUAGGGAAUCUUCCGCAAUGGGCGAAAGCCUGACGGAGCAACGCCGCGUGAGUGAUGAAGGUCUUCGGAUCGUAAAACUCUGUUAUUAGGGAAGAACAAAUGUGUAAGUAACUAUGCACGUAUUGACGGUACCUAAUCAGAAAGCCACGGCUAACUACGUG
rnacentral:rRNA from 1 species